rnacentral:rRNA from 1 species
AUUGAACGCUGGCGGCAGGCCUAACACAUGCAAGUCGAGCGAGCGGCGGACGGGUGAGUAAUGUCUGGGAAACUGCCUGAUGGAGGGGGAUAACUACUGGAAAAGGUAGCUAAUACCGCAUACCAUCAGAUGUGCCCAGAUGGGAUUAGCUAGGAGGUGGGGUAACGGCUCACCUAGGCGACUAUCCCUAGCUGGUCUGAGAGGAGGACCAGACCUGAUGUAACUGAGCAACGGUCCAGACUCCUCCGGGAGGCAGCAGUGGGGAAUAUUGCACAAUGGGCGCAAGCCUGAUGCAGCCAUGCCGCGUGUGUGAAGAGGGCCUUCGGGUUGUAAAGCACUUUCAGCGGGGAGGCGUUACCCGCAGAAGAAGCACCGGCUAACUCCGUGCCAGCAGCCGCGGUAAUAC